rnacentral:rRNA from 1 species
UGAGGAAUAUUGGUCAAUGGGCGGGAGCCUGAACCAGCCAAGUCGCGUGAAGGAAGAAGGAUCUAUGGUUCGUAAACUUCUUUUGCAGGGGAAUAAAGUGCAGGACGUGUCCUGUUUUGUAUGUACCCUGAGAAUAAGGAUCGGCUAACUCCGUGCCAGCAGCCGCGGUAAUACGGAGGAUCCGAGCGUUAUCCGGAUUUAUUGGGUUUAAAGGGUGCGUAGGUGGUUUGAUAAGUCAGCGGUGAAAGUUUGCAGCUUAACUGUAAAAAUGCCGUUGAAACUGUCGGACUUGAGUGUAAAUGAGGUAGGCGGAAUGCGUGGUGUAGCGGUGAAAUGCAUAGAUAUCACGCAGAACUCCGAUUGCGAAGGCAGCUUACUAAGCUACAACUGACACUGAAGCACGAAAGCGUGGGGAGCAAACA